UUCGUGUUUUCAUCAUUUGUCGGAACUCUGUCUGACAGUCUGAGAAUUCGAACAAAAGGUAAAAGGAAAAAGGGAAACUGAAACAAGAUAAAAAGCUGCCAUCAACUCCUUAGUGUUGAUAAACAAAAUGUGACGUAACUUUGCAUCAGGAAAAAACAAUUACUAGGAACUUUGUGCCGACAUUGGGAGUGGGUCUGAAACGCCGACAGUUUCCCGAAAAAUCAUAAAAAGCGCGUCCUUGAAAUUUGUUCACGCGUUUCUUUUUCUAAAUAUUUUGACUGGUAUAUGUGUCGCCAGUGUGGUCGAGUCUCGGGACAGGAUAAGAGCAGUGUGUAAUUACAGUCGUCCUUCGAUUACUCCGGUUAUGGGGUCUCCAUCAGACAUUACUGUCUUCCAGGCAGACCCUUCGACUUUCCACUUGGAAUUCUCGCCAAUCCCAGAUAUUGCUACGGACAAUAUCAUUUCUUCAGGAUACUUUGUUUUUACCUAAAAUUUACAAUGGAGUCUACUUUGACACUUGAAUUCGAAAUACAGCAGCAUUACAUGUUUUUAA